UUUUGGAGGCUCCUACUAGCGUUUCAAAUAUAUUUUGGAUAUACAGGGUUUUUACAGACUGCUGCUCAAGGAGCUGGCAGAUUAUGUGAUGGGAAAAACGGAUGUUGUGCUGGAUAUACUUGGAACGAAGCACUUCAAACGUGUAAAAAGUGUGCUAUAGGUUACUAUGGGGCUGACUGUGAAGAACCCUGUCUGUAUCCGUAUUAUGGUGAAAACUGCAACGGAGAGUGUGAAUGUUUACAACAGUACUGUAAUAUGUCAGUUGGAUGUUUAUAUCAGAGAACAUCAUCUGUAGACUUGCAGCCCGAUCAAAAUGGAACGACCCAAAGUACUAGAUUUUCAUCAGGCAUGGAUUCAAAUCUUACAAAUUCAUCUCCACUUAACCCGACAAGCUCCGAUAUACAAAUACUUCCUAAUGAUUUCGGAUACAUUGUGAUAUAUAUCUGUACAGGAGGGUUUUCCUUUGUUGUUAUUGUUAUUGUUAUCAAUUGUUUACUCUAUAGACACGCUGUUCGGCGUUUCUAUUCAGUCUCUAUCACUGAUGGCGAUCGUAAUUUAGCUAGUUCCAAAUUUAAACAAAGCAAAAAUAAAAUAUUUGAAGGCAAUGCAACCAUGACAAUGUUCUAUAACAACGACACAGAUUCGUACCAUGUUCAAAUUCGAACCACAAACCAUCAAACACCAACUGACACCGUAUACCUCAAAGCUGAGGAAACAAAUCGGGAUCGAGAAGAAAAACCGGUAUAUGAAUCACUUCAGGAUGAAAUGAAAUUGACGCUACGUACUCUGUCACGCUGUCCUGAUGAACAUGAAAUAAAUGACGCAUCAAAUUCACCAGAAACUGAAAGUGAAUGUGAUACAAAUGUCAAAGAAGUAACUGUUGCCAGUGAUUCACCACACAAUGAACACCAGCAUCGCGAUGUGACUACUCAAAAUGUGUAUUUAGCAAUCCAUUAGGUUUAAUUGUAUGGUAUCGUAAAAAAUAAAUACAAUAUAAAUUAUCCUCUCAGUAAAUUGUUAUUAUUUAAACAUGUGUAUCUGUAUAUCUACAUGCACAUCUUUUCGUCUGUAUCUUUGUGUCUGUCAUUCCUUUGUCUCUUUUUGUCAAUCUUUCUUUAGAUCUAUAUCCUGGUCGGUAAUUUGCCAAAAAAGUUUAAAUUUUACGUGUAUGUAUCUUUC
rnacentral:misc_RNA from 1 species